rnacentral:rRNA from 1 species
UACGUAGGGUGCAGGCGUUAAUCGGAAUUACUGGGCGUAAAGCGUGCGCAGGCGGUCUCUUAAGUCAGGUGUGAAAUCCCCGGGCUUAACCUGGGAACUGCGCUUGUAACUGAGAGGCUAGAGUGUGGCAGAGGGGGGUGGAAUUCCACGUGUAGCAGUGAAAUGCGUAGAUAUGUGGAGGAACACCGAUGGCGAAGGCAGCCCCCUGGGCUAACACUGACGCUCAUGCACGAAAGCGUGGGGAGCAAACAGG